AAUAGAUGACGCCGUUGACUUUUUCUCACAUAUUUGACCAUUCGUCUUAUUCAAAAAAUUUACGUAAUUAUAAUUUAUAUUGUUAUGAGUUGUUUUAUCACUCGUAGUACUUUAAGUGUGAUUUAUAUCUUAUACAUUUGUAUAAAAUUUUUGAAUAAGACGAAUGGUCAAACAUGUGAGAAAAAGUCAACGGCGUCAUCUAUU
rfam:Oryza sativa (indica cultivar-group) chromosome 1, whole genome shotgun sequence.